UCCUGACAUAUGCUAAGUGUUAUUGGCUGCUGCUUUGUUCUGUAUCUUAAGUAUUGAGGACUCAACACAUUUUACUGACAUAGAUCAAUUUCAGUGUUAUAGCUCUCCGCUGUGAGCCGGAGAAAGCUAAUGUACAGUGCUGGGUGAUACAGUUGGGGGUGAACAUAGGUUCAACCUCACUCUGUGGUACCCUUGCUGUAAUCUAUAACUGGAAAUGAAUUCCUUCACUUUAAUGAGCCUCAUUUGUAAGCUACAGAUGAUAAUUCCUAUUUCAGAGGGCCGCUAUGAUGAUUGAACAUAAUAAAUAGUGAUUUAUUCUCUGUCCCAGUCCAUCACCACACAAAACUUCAUCUUUAAUCAAAUGUGAACAUAUAUAUGGCACUAUUUUCAGAGUAAUAGAUUUGAGACAAGAAACUGUUUCCCCAAAGAAAUAAUCAUGGCAUCAUGGAUGAGUUCAGGAGCUGGGAAUCUAUAAGUUUAUAUAAUUUUCUAAGGUGAAUCUAUGUGUAGUUUUAGUGUGGUAAGACACUCAUUGAAGUUCAAAUAUGGAAAAACACAAUUUUGAAGAAUAAGAAUAGUUGCAAGACUUUAAUGUGUCAGUAUGCUCUGGAGCUGGAUCACACAGUGAAUCAUCGUCCUUGUAAUGUGGUUAGCAAGGAUGGAGAUAGGAGACGAGCUUCAGUCUUCAAUCCCAGAUCGCACUCUCUUCAUUUUUGUUCAACUGUUUGUUUGCUUAUUUGUAAUUUUUAAAACUCAGUUUUAAAAGGUAGAGUUCAAAUCUAAUACUAUAUAUGUGUUAAAAUAAAAUUUGUUUGAUUGUUCAAUUAUUUAUUGAACCAAAGCUAAAGGCUCAGAGUCUACUGCUAACUUCUUACAACUGUUCAUAACAUCUCAUACAGUGCACAUGCUGUGUACAUAUAGCACAGGGGUGGUUUGUGUAAGUUUCAAUUCAGAUAGAAUGCCUCCCACCCGCUACCCCACUUUCCCUGCUGGUGCCUUCAGGCCCACCAUAGCUCUCUUUCCUCAUUCUUAACAGAAUUUAAUUUCUUGCACUCUCAAGACUGUUCGCGUAAACCCUCCCUGUUUUUUGUCUCAUGGUCAUUUUCUAGCAUCCUCCAUUCUAUCCACAUGUCCCCUAAGUACAGCAUAUGUUUCCAACUCAACCUGUAGUAAUAACUUCUUAAUCUCUGUAGAUAUGCUUUCCUUGUUACUAAGUGCCACUCAGGCUAAUGUGUGAAUCCAUGGCAAUGUAAAGCUUAGAACAUAAACUCUCCUGUGAAGCCCUGGCAGUGUAGAACCUAGAACAUAAGCUCUCAUGCGAAUCCCUGGCAAUGCAGAACCUAGAACAUAAGCUCUCCUCUGAAGCCCUGUAAUGCAUGAACUAGAACAUAAGCUCUUGAUCAAAUCCUGGCAAUGAACUGCUUAGAACAUAAGAUCUCGUGUGAAGCCCUGGUGAUGUACAGCCUCAAACAGAAGCUCUUAGUGACUACCUGUCAGCAGUCAUUGUUCAGUCUCUCCACUCACUUGCUUUAUGCUGAAUCCUGCAGAGUGAUCCUCACAUAAAAGCGGACAUCCACCUGAACAAUUAUGCACUUUCUUCUGAUCUUCAAACCACUCCCCAAAGAUGCACAGUGCUACCAAUGCAGAGUGCAAGCACAGUAGACAGUGAGUGUAUCAACAGAUGGGCCUUACUGAACUUUGAGCAAUCUCUGCCAGGAAACCAGUGGCCAGGACAUGGUCCACAGUUUGAAACCAGGGUUUGAUGCAGACAGGAGAGAGAAAGGCUUAUGAGACACCACAUUGAAGACCAAGUGUGUGGACUGCUUUCCUCAGCAAGGGCUUUUAUGCCUUGUGGAAUAUGUUCUGAUUAUAGGAAUAUGGGAAAAUGCCUUAUGUCUAUGAUGAACUUAUUGACUAUAACAUCCAAGUUGAUUACAUGCUGCCACAUCCAUGCCAUUCAAUGAAGAAUGAAAAGCACAAUGAAAGAAAAAGAAAUGUGGGUGAAUCCAGGCCAGUCUAUGUCAUAGGGAAGGAGUGGGUGCAGACUCAGCACCAGCAAAGCAGGAGUCCUCUGCAAGGCAUCCAGGAGAAGAGACGCUAGAGAUUUACAGCUGCCCUGCACCGCUGCAGAAGAAACAGCAGGGACAACAGAAACAUGUGUGGUGGUGACUCCUGGCAACACAUGGACUCAGCUGCCUUCCAGUACAGACCCAAAGUCACGGCAUGUCCCAGAUUCUAUCUGUGGCUUGGAAAAUAAGAUUCUCAAGCAUUUAUCCUUGGUCAGUACAAAGACCACUGCUUUCAAUCCGUUUAUUUCUGUGUCUGAGUUUUUAAUCUUUCAAUAAAUCAUUCCUUUCAGAAAA